rnacentral:rRNA from 1 species
UACGUAGGGUGCAAGCGUUAAUCGGAAUUACUGGGCGUAAAGCGUGCGCAGGCGGUUGUGCAAGACAGAUGUGAAAUCCCCGGGCUCAACCUGGGAAUUGCAUUUGUGACUGCACGGCUAGAGUGUGUCAGAGGGGGGUAGAAUUCCACGUGUAGCAGUGAAAUGCGUAGAGAUGUGGAGGAAUACCGAUGGCGAAGGCAGCCCCCUGGGAUAACACUGACGCUCAUGCACGAAAGCGUGGGGAGCAAACAGG